rnacentral:tRNA from 1 species
AGAAAAGUAUUUAAAUAAAUAAAACCUAAUUUGCAAUUAGAAAUUGAAAUAUUCCUUUUCUA